rnacentral:rRNA from 1 species
GACGAACGCUGGCGGCGUGCUUAACACAUGCAAGUCGAACGGAAAGGCCCUGCUUUUGUGGGGUGCUCGAGUGGCGAACGGGUGAGUAACACGUGAGUAACCUGCCCUUGACUUUGGGAUAACUUCAGGAAACUGGGGCUAAUACCGGAUAUGAGCUCCUGCUGCAUGGUGGGGGUUGGAAAGUUUCGGCGUUUGGGGAUGUACUCGCGGCUUAUCAGCUUGUUUGUGGGGUAGUGGCUUACCAAGGCUUUGACGGGUAGCCGGCCUGAGAGGGUGACCGGCCACAUUGGGACUGAGAUACGGCCCAGACUCCUACGGGAGGCAGCAGUGGGGAAUAUUGCACAAUGGGCGGAAGCCUGAUGCAGCAACGCCGCGUGCGGGAUGACGGCCUUCGGGUUGUAAACCGCUUUCGCCUGUGACGAAGCGUGAGUGACGGUAAUGGGUAAAGAAGCACCGGCUAACUACGUG